rnacentral:rRNA from 1 species
ACAAGGCGGUGGAGUAUGUGGUUUAAUUCGAUGCAAACGCGAAGAACCUUACCUGGUCUUGACAUCCCGGAGACCCUUAGGAACUAGGGGUGCUUCCAUCUGGAAGAAUCUGGAGACAGGUGCUGCAUGGCUGUCGUCAGCUCGUGUCGUGAGAUGUUGGGUUAAGUCCCGCAACGAGCGCAACCCUUGCCUUUAGUUGCCAGCAGUUCGGCUGGGCACUCUAAAGGGACUGCCGGUGUUAAACCGGAGGAAGUGGGGAUGACGUCAAGUCCUCAUGGCCUUUAUGACCAGGGCUACACACGUACUACAAUGGCCGAUACAAAGGGCAGCGACACUGCGAGGUGAAGCCAAUCCCGUAAAAUCGGUCUCAGUCCGGAUUGGAGUCUGCAACUCGACUCCAUGAAGUUGGAAUCGCUAGUAAUCGUGGAUCAGCAUGCCACGGUGAAUACGUUCCCGGGCCUU